rnacentral:rRNA from 1 species
GACGAACGCUGGCGGCGUGCCUACUACAUGCAAGUCGAACGCAGUGGGGACGGGUGAGUAACACGUGGGUAACCUCCCAUCAGAGGGGAUACCACUUGGCAACAGGUGCUAAACCGAUACUGAUGGAUGGACCCGCGGUGCAUUGGCUAGUUGGUGAGGUAACGGCUCACCAAGGCCGCGAUGCAUAGCCGACCGGAGCGAGUGAGAGGCCACAUGGGGACUGAGACACGGCCCAGACUCCUCCGGGAGGCAGCAGUAGGGAAUCUUCGGAAAUGGACGAAAGUCUGACCGGGCAACGCGGCGUGAGUGAAGAAGGUUUUCGGAUCGUAAAACUCUGUUGUUAGAGAAGCGGUAUCUAACCAGAAAGCCACGGCUAACUACGUGCCAGCCGCCGCGGUAAUAC